rnacentral:rRNA from 1 species
UUCCGGUUGAUCCUGCCGGACCCGACUGCUAUCAGAGUGGGACUAAGCCAUGCGAGUCGACGUAGCAAUGCGUGGCGAACGGCUCAGUAACACGUAGUCAACAUGCCCAGGGGACGUGGAUAACCUCGGGAAACUGAGAAUAAACCACGAUAGGUCACGAUUUCUGGAAUGGAUCAUGGCCUAAAUCUACAUGGCCCCUGGAUUGGACUGCGGCCGAUCAGGCAGUUGGUGAGGUAAUGGCCCACCAAACCUAUAACCGGUACGGGCUCUGAGAGGAGAAGCCCGGAGAUGGGCACUGAGACAAGGGCCCAGGCCCUAUGGGGCGCAGCAGGCGCGAAACCUCUGCAAUAGGCGAAAGCCUGACAGGGUUACUCUGAGUGAUUUCCGCUAAGGGGAUCUUUUGGCACCUCUAAAAAUGGUGCAGAAUAAGGGGUGGGCAGGUCUGGUGUCAGCCGCCGCGGUAAUACCAGCACCCCGAGUGGUCGGGACGAUUAUUGGGCCUAAAGCAUCCGUAGCCGGUUCUGCAAGUCUUCCGUUAAAUCCAGCCGCUCAACGGAUGGGCCGCGGAGGAUACUACAGGACUAGGAGGCGGGAGAGGCAAGCGGUACUCAGUGGGUAGGGGUAAAAUCCUUUGAUCCAUUGAAGACCACCAGUGGCGAAGGCGGCUUGCCAGAACGCGCUCGACGGUGAGGGAUGAAAGCUGGGGGAGCAAACCGGAUUAGAUACCCGGGUAGUCCCAG